UUGACCUCGGCUCUAUUUGCAAGAGCCUGGGCUGGCUAGUGGCCGAUAGUGGCUUCUCCCACCGGUUGAGAGGGGUCUUAAGAUGGGAGAUGGGUAGGUUAUUCACAGAGCUUUAAACUAGGUAUGAAGGGGGGUGGGGGUGUAACUGGGGUUACUAAUAUGGAGCCUGAAUGUAACGUCGCUGUGCUUGAAAGAGAGGGAUGUGCACAAGGGCGGGUAUGAGGUUGGUGGCUGUGGAAACACCUGCGUGUGGUGAUGAGGGUAUUAGGGUUACUGCCACUCGCAAGGAGAUCAAGCUCAGGUGCCUUUACACCAAUGCACGCAGCAUGAGUAACACACAAGAGGAGCUGGAGGCCAUUGUGUGUUUGGAAAGUUAUGCUAUAGUUGCCAUCACAGAAACGUGGUGGAACGACUCCCACAGCUGGAGUGCAGUGAUGGAGGGCUACCGGCUUUUCAAAAGAGACAGCCUGGGUAGGAAAGGCGGUGGUGUAGCACUCUAUAUUAAAAAAGACUAUGAAUGUGUGGAAAUUAAUGAGGGUGGUGAUAGGGUUGAGAGUAUAUGGAUCGGAAUAAAAGCAAAGGCCAACAAGACUGAGGUUAUUGUGGGGGUCUGCUACAGGCCACCCACCCAGGAUGAAGAGGUGGACGAGAGGCUUUAUAAACAGUUGGGUGAGGUGUCUAGCUCACUCCCCCUUGUUCUGGUGGGGGACUUCAACUUCCCAGACGUCUGCUGGAAUUAUAAUACAGCGGACAGGGAACAGUCCCGGAGGUUCCUAGAGUGUGUGGGAGGUAACUUCCUGACACAGCCGGUGAGGGAGCCGACGAGGGGAAGCAAUAUCCUGGACCUGCUGUUUGUCAACAGAGAAGGUCUGGUGGGGGAUGUAAAGGUUGGAGGCCGUCUGGGGCAAAGUUAUCAUGAGAUGCUAGUUUUCUCUAUCCUUGUUGAACCAUGGAGGGGAGUCAGCAGAACUGCCACCUUGGACUUCUGGAGGGCGGACUUCCACCUCUGCAGGACCAUGGUUGAGAGGGUCCCUUGGGAGGUAGUUUUGGAGAGCAUGGGAGCCCAGGAAGGCUGGGACUAUUUUAAGGAAACUGUUUUAAAGGUGCAGGACCUGACCAUCUCCAUGUCACGGAAGAUGAGCCGAUGGGCAAGGAGGCCGGGCUGGCUGAACAGAGACCUUUGGCUGGAUCUCAAGAACAAAAGGAAAGUUUAUGGUCUCUGGAAGAGUGGGCAAGCUACUUAAGAUGAUUGCAGGUAUGUAGUGAAGGUGUGCAGGGAGAAAAUUAGAAAAGCCAAAGCGCAGCUAGAACUGAGCUUGGCCACUAAAGCAAAGGUAAACAGUAAGUGCUUUUAUAAACACAUUAACAGCGAGAGGAAGGCUAGGGAGAAUCUCCA
ensembl:lncRNA